AUACAGAGGGUGCGAGCGUUAAUCGGAAUUACUGGGCGUAAAGCGCGCGUAGGCGGUUAUUUAAGUCAGAUGUGAAAUCCCUGGGCUCAACCUAGGAACUGCAUCUGAAACUGGGUAACUAGAGUUUAGGAGAGGGGAGUAGAAUUUCGGGUGUAGCGGUGAAAUGCAUAGAGAUCCGAAGGAAUACCAGUGGCGAAGGCGACUCCCUGGCCUAGAACUGACGCUGAGGUGCGAAAGCGUGGGUAGCAAACGGGAUUAGAUACCCUUGUAGUCC
rnacentral:rRNA from 1 species